UGAGGAACAUGACCUUCGGCGGGGGAUAGCCGGCCCAACGGCCGGGUAAUACCGCGUACGACCACUCGGGGACAUCCCUAGGUGGUGAAAGCAGCAAUGCGCCGAUGGAGUGCCUCGCGGCCUAUCAGCUAGUUGGUGAGGUAACGGCUCACCAAGGCGACGACGGGUAGCUGGUCUGAGAGGAUGGCCAGCCACAUUGGGACUGAGACACGGCCCAAAACUCCUACGGGAGGNAG
rnacentral:rRNA from 1 species